GAAGAUUAGGGGAACUUGGUUCUGUAAACUGUCUUGGAAUAGUUAAGCAGAAUUUAAGCUCUGUUUUAUGCAGAAAACCAGAUAGAUUCUUUUGCAGAUAUAGAAAACUUCCUAACUUAUUUAAACUUGGCAUUUAACACUUUGUGUUACUUAGAUAUACAGUUGCUAGGUACUAACAUCCCAUUCUUCUCUAUAUCAGGGAUUAUUACAGUCAAACUCAGUGACAUGGUACAAAUCUACAACUUUGAUGGUGGGAACUGAAGAAUUACAGAGAACUGUGUUUUCCCGAGUGCCAAAAGAAACAAAAACAAAACAAAACAAACAAACCCCACAAAAAAAAGAAAAAAAAAAAAAAGCCGCGAGCCUCCUUGCACAAAAUUGAUAGGUUUUUUUUUGUGUGUAUGUGUGUGUUUGUGUGUGUGUAUGUUUAACAUUAGUCCAUCAGUUGCCGUAGUAUCACCUCCCAGGUCUCUGCACAAUUAAAACACAGCCACAUAGCUUAUUUUGUCAUUUACAACCACAUUGAUUUUAUUUGAAAGAAAGUCUAUAGUCUGUGAAGGGUAUAAGUAAAGAAAGGAGAACUGGUUGUAUUCAAAAAGGCAAAAGCCAAACUUGAAUUGCAGCUGGGGUGAUCAAUAUCUGCUUCCAGAGAGCAAUAAUGUGCCACUUACUCCCAGGUGCUUCAGUACCAGAAAGUGCUGUGGGACUCGGUCACCUCUGUAGAUGACCGUCCUUGUCAGUGAAUGACUAUUGUGGAAAUGACUUGGGCUCCAUAGUUUCACUAAGUCACUUGAGGAUGUCUCAUCAGCAAUUAUUUCAGGAAGGAAAGAAAGCAAAUCUAAAGAAAGAAACUAAAUACACUGUAGCAAGAAAUAACUCUUCAAUCAUGCUUUAACUUUUUACCAUAGUCUCAGCUAUACAAAAAACUUUAGUUUGAAGAUUUUACAUUGCUGUUAAUUUGAAAUCUGUUGUUCUUACUGUGGAGUUUGAUUUGUUCGUUUGUUUGCUUUCUGUUGGUUUUUUUUUUUUUUUUUAAGAUGUUUCUAAAUAGAUUUUUUAAAAAAAAGAAAGAAGAAGAAGAAUGGAAUCUGGUUGCUAUUUUAAGGUAGAACCUGAGACUUUUUGUGGUUCUUCAUGUCCUCUGUAAAAUUUGGUGUCAAGAGUCAUCAACUCUGAGGUUGUCCCUUCUGUUCUGCUUUAUAUUACUGCCCAUCAGGAAAUGGGAACCUGGUGAAUAUAUAAUGAAUUGUAAAAUAUUUUAAAUGUGUAACUUUUUCAACUGUGAAACUGACUAUUGGUUUUUUUUUUUUUUGAUGAAAACAGCUGCUCAUAAAGUAUUUUGUGUAAAGUGUAGUUCUUAUUAAUCAGGAAAUGAUUACGUGAUUAGAUGUGUGCCCUCUUGACUUUUAUCUGAAAGAGAUUGGUAAUUAUCACAGAGACAGAGCACGAUCCAUCUGUGUUCUCUGCUCGUCAGGAGCCAGCUGAUGUGGCGUCACAGAAAAGACGAACCUGUUUUAAUGGUACAGUAGAAACCUCACAGCACGUGGACUUCGCUGUGUUUCUUAACAUAAUUUUUGUAAGCUUGAUGUCCAUGCUUUCCAGCUCUUUGAAGAAAUUUAUUUCCAGCAUUAUGUUAAUCUUUUCUGAAUAUUACAGUUUCCACUUUUUUCCUGUUUCUCUGGAAACUGCAGACCUGGGCUGGACCCCCACACUACAGAAUAUUAAUGAAUUACUUUUGAUGUCUACAACAUUGCUAAAAUACCAAAUUCAAAGGCAUUUUGUGGCGUCAUAGAUUGUGGUAUGUCUGCUUCAGAUGUUUGGGGAGAUGGGGGUGUGGUGGAAGGGCCUGAGCAGGGAGAAGCACAAAGGGGCAUGGAAGUUACAGGGAUGCUGUCCACGUACUAGAAAGGAAUCAGUUCCAGGUUGGAAUUUUGAAGGCUGAACUCAGUCUUGACAUCAUCUUUAAUUAGUAACUCUUGAUGACAGAGGAGUCCAGCUGAGCUGUUUUAAACAGACAAACAAAAGCAUUUCAGUUAUUAAAACUGUAAACAGAUCAUGUCGUGGCCUGGAAAGCCUUUUUUUUUUUCCUUAUAAAAAUAUUGUUUUUACUCUCUGGAAAGAUGUUGGGCUCCAGCUCAAAAGAAUUGCAUUCCUGAUAGCCCUGGUAGCUGUCUCCAAAGGUUUGUAAGGGAAAUGGCCAUGUUACCACUCAGUGCUCUCACAGGACAGCAAAGAGAAUCUCAUUGUAGGUUUUCAAGUCAAGAUUGGGCAUGCGCUGCUGUUCAUGGACCAGGAGACAGGAUGGGUCAAGGAAUGGGGCUAAAAUCUAUUGCUCCAGCCACUUGGGAAAGCUUUAUUGUUAAAGCAAUUCAAGGUGCCAGUUCUUGAGUGCGGCGCUCAUAGCAUGCUCUCCUGUGUUGCUUUGCUAGCACUGGCCAAGGCUCUGUAACGAAAGGUGUAAACAGAUACCAAGGUUCUAAAAUGCAGAAAGGACUUGUUGUUAGGAGUCACCCAGAUUGCAUUGGCAAUCCUGGGUGAGUUUUUGUGGGAUUGUGCACCUCCAUCCAUUUUAUUAUGCGGUGCCUUUUCCUUUGCUUGGCUUUUGGGUAUGGUAGGGUAUCAGCCGUGUGCUAAUUACAGCAAAGGGAAUGGGAACAGAGCAGUUAUCACACUUCUCAGGUGUCACAAAGAGUGUUGGUGGGCAGGACUGAAAUGAGGCUCCAUCCUGUGUGCUGUUGGCUGAUUUUUAACUCACUACCAGCAGUAGAUGCCAUUUCUCGUGGUAAUAAGUACCAAAAGGAAAAUACUUUAUAGGCCACGUGGACUUUAUAUAACCUCAUCUUGUGUCACAAGCUUGUGGCAGAAAUAUACAUACACAUAUACAUACUAUAUGUAUGUAUGUGUAUAUAUAUAUAUAUUUUUUUUUUUUUUUGAGACAUGGUUUCUCUGUAUAGCCCUGUCUGUCCUGGAACUCACUCUGUAGACCAGGCUGGCCUCAAACUCAGAAAUCUGCCUGCCUCUGCCUCCCAAGUACCGGGAUUAAAGGCGUGUGCCAACACCUGCCCGGCCGGAAGUAUAUAUUUUUAAAUACUGUUUUUGUUGAUCUUCUAGGUUAGCUGAAGGAAGAACCUUUGGUGUUUCCAAUUAAAGCAUGGGAAUUUGGGUCAGUUGUUAGCCCAACAAAUGUGUGUGGAGUGGAGCUCUGGGCUUGAGCCCAGCACAUCAUAAACGGGGUCUGAUGACAUAUGCCUGUAAUUCCCCACCUCAGGAGGUAGAGAACAGAAGUUCAGGGCCAUCCUCAGCCUACAUUACUAACAUAAUGUAAUGCAUGCUUGGGGUACUCUGGCUCCAAAACAUCCCCACUAAACUUGUUCUAGUACAAAUUCACAAGUGUAAUUAUUUCUGUUGGUUCAUAAGAAAGAAAUACUUAAAUAGAUUUAAUGUAUGUUCCUAAGAGUAGCUAAGAAAUGUGAUUUUUCUGGAAAUGUUUUUGAUUAUGAAACCCAAACAAAUUUGUUGUGGUGAUGAUGGUGGAUUUCUUAGGGUUUUGUCAUUUUAUUGUUGGUACAAGGUCUCAGUGUAGCCCAGGCUGGCCUCAAAUUCAAGAUCCUCUGGACUUAGCUUCGGGGUGCUGAGUUUACAGUACCCUCACUCCAGGCUCCAAGAAUCCGUGCUUCAAAUGCAGCUGAUGGUUCUAUUGUCAUUUGGUCUUAGCUGAAUAAAAUCUAAAAAAAG
rnacentral:lncRNA from 1 species